rnacentral:rRNA from 1 species
GACGAACGCUGGCGGCGUGCUUAACACAUGCAAGUCGAACGGAAAGGCCCCUUUGGGGGUACUCGAGUGGCGAACGGGUGCGUAACACGUGAGUAACCUGCCCUUGACUUCGGGAUAACUUCAGGAAACUGGGGCUAAUACCGGAUAGGAAUCCUUGCUGCAUGGUGGGGGUUGGAAAGCUUCGGCGGUUUUGGAUGGACUGGCGGCUUAUCAGCUUGUUGGUGGGGUAGUGGCUUACCAAGACUUUGACGGGUAGCCGGACUGUGAGGGCGACCGGCCACACAGAGACCGAGAGAAGGCCGAGGUAGCGAAGGGAGGGAGAAGGGGGGAAGACUGAAGAAGGAGCGCAAGGCGGAUGAAGAAGCGCUGCGGGCGGGAUGACGGCCUUAGGGUGGGAAAACGAUUUUAGAAGGGGCGAAGCAUGUGGUGACGGUACCUGAAGAAGAAGCACCGGCUAACUACGUG